rnacentral:rRNA from 1 species
UAAGGAAUAUUGGGCAAUGGAGGCAACUCUGACCCAGCCAUGCCGCGUGCAGGAAGACGGCCCUACGGGUUGUAAACUGCUUUUACUAGGGAGUAAUGUUAGUUACGAGUAACUAAUUGCAAGUACCUAUAGAAUAAGGAUCGGCUCACUCCGUGCCAGCAGCCGCGGUAAUACGGAGGAUCCAAGCGUUAUCCGGAUUUAUUGGGUUUAAAGGGUGCGCAGGCGGACUAAUAAGUCAGUGGUGAAAGCGACAUGCUUAAC